rnacentral:rRNA from 1 species
UAGCAUGACUAGUAUUAGAGGCRCUGCCUGCCCGGUGACCAUGUUAAACGGCCGCGGUAUUCUGACCGUGCAAAGGUAGCAUAAUCACUUGUUCUCUAAAUAAGGACUAGUAUGAAUGGCCAAACGAGGACUUUACUGUCUCUCRUCUGCAAUCAGUGAAAUUGACCUUCCCGUGAAAAGGCGGGAAUAAUAGAAUAAGACGAGAAGACCCUAUGGAGCUUUAAUUAUCAACUUAAAAUUAUUUAUAUACACUUCUAAGGAAAUAAAAACUAAUUUUAUGAGCAACUAAUUUUGGUUGGGGUGACCUCGGRGAAAAAAAUAACCUCCGAGCGGUUUAAAUCUAGACUUACAWGUCUAAAAAUCCGUUAAUUGAUCCAAUAUUUGAUCAACGGAACAAGUUACCCUAGGGAUAACAGCGCAAUCCUAUUCAAGAGUUCCUAUCGACAAUAGGGUUUACGACCUCGAUGUUGGAUCAGGACRUCCCAAUGGCGCAGCUGCUAUUAAUGGUUCGUUUGUUCAACGAUUAAAGUCCU